GAUGAACGCUGGCGGCGUGCUUAACACAUGCAAGUCGAACGAAGCACUUAAGAUUGAUUCUUCGGAUGACGUCCUUUGUGACUUAGUGGCGGACGGGUGAGUAACGCGUGGGUAACCUGCCUCACACAGGGGGAUAACAGUUAGAAAUGACUGCUAAUACCGCAUAACCCGAUAGGAUCGCAUGAUCCAGACGGAAAAGAUUUAUCGGUGUGAGAUGGACCCGCGUCUGAUUAGCUAGUUGGUGAGGUAACGGCCCACCAAGGCGACGAUCAGUAGCCGGCCUGAGAGGGUGAACGGCCACAUUGGGACUGAGACACGGCCCAAACUCCUACGGGAGGCAGCAGUGGGGAAUAUUGCACAAUGGGGGAAACCCUGAUGCAGCGACGCCGCGUGAGUGAAGAAGUAUUUCGGUAUGUAAAGCUCUAUCAGCAGGGAAGAAAAUGACGGUACCUGACUAAGAAGCCCCGGCUAACUACGUG
rnacentral:rRNA from 1 species